rnacentral:rRNA from 1 species
CGCCUGGGGAGUGCGGCCGCAAGGUUAAAACUCAAAGGAAUUGACGGGGACCCGCACAAGCGGUGGAGCAUGUGGUUUAAUUCGAUGCAACGCGAAAAACCUUACCUACCCUUGACAUCCAUAGAAGACAGAAGAGAUUUUGUUGUGCCUUUGGAACUAUGAGACAGGUGCUGCAUGGCUGUCGUCAGCUCGUGUUGUGAGAUGUUGGGUUAAGUCCCGCAACGAGCGCAACCCUUAUUUUUAGUUGCCAGCAUGUAAAAUGGGCACUUUAAAGAGACUGCCGCUGAUAAGGCGGAGGAAGGUGGGGACGACGUCAAGUCAUCAUGGCCCUUACGGGUAGGGCUACACACGUGCUACAAUGGGCAUUACAGAGGGAAGCGAAAGCGAGAGCUGGAGCAAAGCUUUUAAAGGUGCUCUAAGUCCGGAUUGAACUCUGCAACUCGAGUUCAUGAAGUCGGAAUCGCUAGUAAUCGCGGAUCAGAUGCCGCGGUGAAUACGUUCCCGGGUCUUGAACACACCGCCCGUC